GAUGAACGCUAGCGGCAGGCUUAACACAUGCAAGUCGAGGGGUAUAGUUCUUCGGAAUUAGAGACCGGCGCACGGGUGCGUAACGCGUAUGCAAUCUACCUUUCACAGAGGGAUAGCCCCAGAGAAAUUUGGAUUAAUACCUCAUAGUAUAGCAGUUUCGCAUGAAACCACUAUUAAAGUCACAACGGUGAAAGAUGAGCAUGCGUCCCAUUAGCUAGAUGGUAAGGUAACGGCUUACCAAUGGCUAGAUGGGUAGGGUCCUGAGAGGGAG
rnacentral:rRNA from 1 species